rnacentral:rRNA from 1 species
GAUCCUGGCUCAGGAUGAACGCUGGCGGCGCGCCUAACACAUGCAAGUCGAACGGUUAAGGCGCCCUUCGGGGCGCGAAUAGAGUGGCGAACGGCUGAGUAACACGUGGGCAACCUGCCCCCCGCACCGGGACAGCCUCGGGAAACCGUGGGUAAUACCGGGUACUCCGCCACCCCCGCAUGGGGGAGGCGGGAGAGCGUAUGCGGCGGGGGAUGGGCCCGCGGCCUGUUAGCUAGUUGGCGGGGCAACGGCCCACCAAGGCGAUUAUGGG